UUCAGAAGAUGAUGACAAACAAUCAAAUUAUCAAAGCACCUGCAAUGCUGAAUUGUAUAUUUGCACGUCAGUCUGAUUCAAAU